CGCCCACCUGCAUGGAGCUGUGGAAGAACAAGCCCAGACACGUCUCUUCACGGAGCCCAAGGAAAACACUUUACCGGACUCAUCACUCAUAUGGGAUGGCCCUGUAAAUUGUGCAGCACUGUUGUGCCAACCAAGAGUGAUUUUUUUAAAGCAUUACAGACUGCACCAUGGGACCUUUGGACACAGCCAUGCCUUGCCUUGCAUUCAUAUAAGUUGCCCAUGCAUGCUCUUUUAAAUGCUGGAGUUCCCUUCGCUCUCAUCUGUCAAGAUACCACCCAGAAAUCAAAUUCCUCAACUCACCUCAAGUAAGUCCUUCAUUCACCUGCCCUCUGUGUAAAAGGAUUGUGCCAGGAGCAUCAAUGAUAUGAUGGCCAGAACAUACAGUUGGAGAAGACAGGAAGUGGUUGCCAAGUCUCCUGCUGGGGUGGCAGAAUUUAAGGAAAGAUGGCCUGCCCUCUUCGAACCAUUCCAGAUUAAUGAAGAGUUCCGAAGGUGCACUGCUAUUCCACUGGAAUCAACAUUUAUGUCCCAGCUGGACAGGUACACUCCAAAACUCCUGGAGCUCUUCAGUGCAAAAGGUGGAGUGACUGGUCAGCGCAUCAAGAACUUGUUGAUGGAACUGAUACAGGACCCAAGUGCCUCUGCAGUGAUGAAGAGAGAUGUGACUCUUGAGAUGUGUCAUAGAGUACAUGGGAGAGAGUGGACAGGAGCUCAUCUCUGACUACUGUGGAACUGCAUAGACCACUGUUCAUGAGGACCUGGAAAUGAAGAAUAUGAGCAUCUACAUCUGUCGUGAGCCAAAUGCAGUAGGAAUCAUCAUUGAGGGAGUACCAGUCCUUACUCAUCUUGGAAACCUGGCCAAAGCAUGCUGCCUACUUCUGGGGUUGACGUAUGCACUUAAUCUUGAGUAUCCAUCCAAACCGAGCCAUGACUGUCAGCUUGCACUUUUGAACAGCUAUUUUCUUGUGUCUGUUCAAAAUCAUUAUACAUUGUUCAUUGAGUGGAAUUCUUCAGAAUGUUGUCCUGUUCAGGUUUUAUACAAAGCUCCAGGUCAUCGUUUCUGCUGUGUAAAUUAAGUUUUUUUUAUGUUUUAUACACACUAAAUUGCCCCACUGUGAAGCUCCAGCUGGUCAGAAGGAGGGAUCUGUGAGUUGUUUAAGUUAAAAUGUUUCAAAAUAUACACACUGAAAGACACUAUGGUGAAGGUGUUCUGCUUGUGAAUUGUUACAGAAGUACAGAUAAUCUUAAUGUUAAAUUGUUUUAGCAAGAAACUGUACUGUGAAGGUUCUAAGUAAAACUUGAGAUGCUGAGGUCAUGCAUUCUUUUAUGCACUAAAUAAGUGAAGUGAAUUACAUUUAUAUAGCGCUUUUUCUCAAGUGACUCAAAGCGCUUUACAUUGUGAAACCCAAUAUCUAAGUUACAUUUUAAACCAGUGUGGGUGGCACUGGGAGCAGGUAGGUAAUGUGUCUUGCCCAAGGACACAACGGCAGUGACUAGGAUGGCGGAAGCGGAAUCGAACCUGCAACCCUCAAGUUGCUGGCACGGCCGCUCUACCAACUGAGUUAUACCGUAUACUGAUGUUCUUGACUGUUAACACUCUCCAGCUUAUUGACACGGUUUGAAUAUGGCUUGUGGAAAUGUUUUAAUAAUAUGUAUACGGUUACAAAAAGAAAACUACUGUGAAGGUGUUCUAUACAGCACUUUAAAAAGUUGAGGUCAUGCAUUCUAUGCACUAAAUAUGGAUGUUGACUGUUCAUACUGUCCAGCUCAUUGCCACUGUUUUUAUAUGGUAAUGAUUUAAUAAAGGUUGGAAUUUGAUAUGUCUUGAUUUUUUUAUUAUUAUUCUAAGUAAUUAUUUUAAGCAGUUUCUAUUUUCAAAACAAAGAAAGGGU